AGUGAACGCUGGCGGUAGGCCUAACACAUGCAAGUCGAACGGCAGCACAGUAAGAGCUUGCUCUUACGGGUGGCGAGUGGCGGACGGGUGAGGAAUACAUCGGAAUCUACUUUUUCGUGGGGGAUAACGUAGGGAAACUUAUGCUAAUACCGCAUACGACCUACGGGUGAAAGCAGGGGAUCUUCGGACCUUGCGCGAUUGAAUGAGCCGAUGUCGGAUUAGCUAGUUGGCGGGGUAAAGGCCCACCAAGGCGACGAUCCGUAGCUGGUCUGAGAGGAUGAUCAGCCACACUGGAACUGAGACACGGUCCAGACUCCUACGGGAGGCAGCAGUGGGGAAUAUUGGACAAUGGGCGCAAGCCUGAUCCAGCCAUAUCGCGUGGGUGAAGAAGGCCUUCGGGUUGUAAAGCCCUUUUGUUGGGAAAGAAAAGCAGCAGGUUAAUACCCCGCUGUUCUGACGGUACCCAAAGAAUAAGCACCGGCUAACUUCGUG
rnacentral:rRNA from 1 species